rnacentral:rRNA from 1 species
UACAGAGGUCCCAAGCGUUGUUCGGAUUCAUUGGGCGUAAAGGGUGCGUAGGCGGCGCGGUAAGUCGGGUGUGAAAUCUCGGGGCUUAACUCCGAAACUGCAUUCGAUACUGCCGUGCUUGAGGACUGGAGAGGAGACUGGAAUUUACGGUGUAGCGGUGAAAUGCGUAGAUAUCGUAAGGAAGACCAGUGGCGAAAGCGGCGCACUGGACCACAACUGACGCUGAGGCGCGAAAGCUAGGGGAGCAAACAGG